GCCGCGGUGGCGGAAUCGGCAGACGCGCCAGGUUUAGGACCUGGUGGGCUAUACGCCCGUGGAGGUUCAAGUCCUCUCCGCGGCACCA
rnacentral:tRNA from 2 species